UGCCUACACAAUAUGUUGAGACAGCAGAAGUUGAGAUUUCAGCAACAGAAAAUGAUUUUGAGUUUCGUCAUCCAGAAAAUGUCAGUAAUUUUGAUGAAGCAAUAAGAAAAAGAGAACAAGAAUAUCGAUCAAAACUGGAUGAAACAGAAAAGUUUAACAAAAGAACUGGAGUUAAUGCGAUGUGAUAGUCGUCGAUGUAAAGAGGAACUCAACAAGACAGAGCUGAGAACUCGGGAGCUGGAGAAGAUGCUUAAAGGAAAAGAUUGGAUGAUUUCUGAUUUGGAAAACACUAAUAAGUUUUAGGUCACAGAUCUCGAAGCACAACUGGAAUAUAUGAGGAGAAUGGGAGACAACUUACAGGAGGA